ensembl:lncRNA
ACUCUCGCAAUGGUCUCACGCCUCCUAUGUAACCGAGAGGCUGUCCAGGCUACGUUGGACCAACAGAACCACAGGUUGGUCUUGCCAACCCGAAGCUGAGUGGGCGAAACUGCAGAGGCUGGAGCUCCUGCUUGAACCAUGCAAGUAUGUGACAGAGCUGCUGGGUGGUGAGGCCUACGUCUCUUGCUCUGUAGUGCUGCCUGCUUUUCGCCAUCUGUACCGUGUCAUGGACAUUACUGAUGAUGAUCCUGCCUACGUGGUGAAGUUCAAGAAUGCCUUCCAGAAGGAUCUGGCAGCACGACGAGCUAAUGGCAACGAGAUAUGGUUCGAGGUGGCCACAGCAUUGGAUCCACGGUUUAAGGAUUUGAAAUGUCUUCCAAGAGAAAAGAGGGAACAGGUGUGGACCAUUCUGGAGAAUAUGCUCCAGGCAGCAGAGCCCAGAAGAGCAGAUAGUCUCCAGCCCUCCACAGAGGAUGAUGGACCAGCUCAGAAGAAGAGGAGGAGCGAACUCUGCAGCGCUACAGAGCAGAACCCAGCAUCAGUAUUGAUGACUGUCCCCUGCAGUGGUGGUAUGCUCACUCAGGAGUCUAUGAAAAGCUGUCAGUCCUAGCACAAAAGUACCUGGCCUCCCCAGCUACCUCUGUACCCUGUGAGAGACUCUUUAGCCUUGCAGGCCACAUAGUGCAAAAGAAAAGGGCAGCCUUGCUUCCAGAAAAUGUUACCAGGCUGGUGUGUCUUAGCGACUGGCUGAGGAAGAAGAAAUGAGACACAUGUGGUCAGCAUAGCUGCUGUGUCAUUUGUAGCCUACUAGAAUAGAUUGCUUGAUGUUCAGCACUUUUUUUUUGUGAUGGAAGAAUACUUUGAUGUGCUAACUUGCAGCACUGCAAUGUCAGUUUUAUUUUUCAUUAUCUGAAGCAGAGGAAUUUCAGUGCUGUAUUGCUCAGAAAAGAGCAACUCUGAUGUGCUAACUUGCAGCACUUAAUUUAUUUGAUUUU